rnacentral:rRNA from 1 species
UACAGAGGUCUCAAGCGUUGUUCGGAUUCAUUGGGCGUAAAGGGUGCGUAGGCGGCGUGGUAAGUCGGAUGUGAAAUCUCGGAGCUUAACUCCGAAACUGCAUUCGAUACUGCCGUGCUUGAGGACUGGAGAGGAGACUGGAAUUUACGGUGUAGCGGUGAAAUGCGUAGAUAUCGUAAGGAAGACCAGUGGCGAAGGCGGGUCUCUGGACAGUUCCUGACGCUGAGGCACGAAGGCCAGGGGGAGCAAACGGG